AUUAGUUAUAAUUAAUAAUACUUAAAUCAAUUCAAUUAAAUAUACUUUUAAAUAUUUUUAGUUUUACAUAUAAAUAGGUAUAUAGUAUAGGUAGCUGUUAUAAACUAUAGCAAGCUAUUAGUAAUAUAACGUUGAUCAGUAAAUUACAUAUUAUAAAAUAAAAUAGUUUUUGUCAGUUUUUGUCUUUUGCUUGCCGUUUUUACAAUUGACGAUGUCAGUAUUUUACUGUAGGCAUGUAGUCGUAUCUUGAGUAUGUAUGAUCAUGGGCACUUGGAGUAUCUAGAAUAGCUCGAAUACAAGAUUCACACUUCAAAUUCUGUAAGAGUGUUUUUACUACAUAUCCACUGAUGUAAUACAAAACAUUUUCAGUGAUCAAACUAAGAAAUUUCCAUUUAAUCGCAAAAAGUGAAUCUUCAACUGGUGACAACAAUGCACAAUUUCCAGAGCUCAUUUUUAUAGAAUUAUGCAAUAAGAUACUUUUUAGAGCAUUUUUAAACUCCAAACAAUUUGGGUUAUUAUUAUGCCCAAAUUUGCCCCGCAUAAAACUGAAGAAUAUUUCUAUGGCGUCUUGACUGAAUUUGUAAGUAUUGAAUAUUGUGAAUAUAAAUUGGUUGUUUCAAUCCUUUUGCAAAUGGAUUUCUAGAGUUCAAAAAAUCAAAUAUUUCAUCAAUAAUACGAAUAAAUUUAAUUGUUGCUUCACACUUCUCAAAUUCUAUUGAAGUUUGAGUGAGAUAUGCAAGAGCGUCUGCAACGGAACUGCUUAAUAAUUGUACAGCAAGUUUGACCUUCAUUGAAUUUCCUUUCCAAUUUAUAUGAGCUGAACUUAUUUUGUUUCCUAAUUUAAAUCCUAUUUCAUUUUGUAAUUUAAAUAGUUUAUCAAUAUAUCUCCACUCUAUUAAAUUACUAUUUUCAUCUUUAAAAGCUCCAAAAGUCCCUAAUGCAUUUCUGGCUAACUUAACAUUGUGGCACGCAUCAGGUGUAAAAUAUAUGUUUGGUGUGAAGAGGUCAAUUUUGAAAUCAGAUUUAAUUAAAUCAUACGAUUGGUUUAAGUCACAACCUAAUAUUUUGAAUGUACUAAGAUUAGCAUAUGCAUAUUUGUUUCAAUAUUUGAAAUCCAAUUUCUAAUAGCACUAGGGCUUGGUAGGCUAAUUGAAGACCUUUAAAUUAAAUUAUGACUGAGCAUUUUGUACUUAAAUAACAAUUUUACUAAUACAAUUUAUAGAUUUAGUAUAAUUAUACCUGAUAUAACUGUAAGCUUUAGGGGAAUAAAAAUAAAUUGUCGUGGCAAACUUUUUUACUUCAUCAGUAUAUCGUCUUGCUGUAGGUUCUACAUUAGUAUUUUGUAUUAAAUCAUUUAAAAAUGUUUGUGUAAAAUUUUUUGCAAUUGUGUCAGUGGUUUCUGUGUCAGUUGAUGAUUUGAUUGUAGACAUCAACUCCUAAUAAUUUUUAAUAUUAUAUAAAAAUAUUUGCUUGCAGUUUUACCAUUUUCAAUCACUGAACAAAUAUUGACAAAUCCAUAUCCAAUACAUAAACCAGAAUAGAUAUCAUUAGGUACUUACAAAAAAUGUACACUAAUAAUUCACUAACUUUGCAUAGCCAAAGUGACAUACUGACAUUGGAAAUAUAUUUAUGUUAUAAAUAAUAAUGCACACACAAAAUAUAUC